CAGCGAACGGGUUUUCAUCGAAACGACCAGCCAUCACCUUUUUAAGUGUUUUUUUUCUUUUUUCUUUUUAUCGAUAACAAUAAAAACUGAAAAUGGGAGAAUAAUACAAGGAAGAUGAAAACUAGAGAGGAGAAAAAGGAGAAGAAGCUUGGAGGAGAAGAGAAUUGAAAAACUGGGAGGUCAAAGGAAAUUUGGGGCUAUGAAUAAAGUUCUAGAGAGAGAAAACGUGGUUUCCCUGGGGAAGAAGAGGUAGAGGUAGAGAGGGGGAAUGAGAAGUUGGACUUUUCGGUUAACAGUCAGUUUUGUUGAAUAUAAUAUAUUGUGACGAAACAGCGGGAAAAUACAUUAUUCUCUAUUCUCCCUUUUGUCCCUUUCUUUUGAUAGUGUAGAUAACAUAUAUGUGCAUGGUGGGAAAGGUGAAAAUAUAGAAAGAAAAUUACUUCUAUUCUCUCAUCAUUUCCAUUUGAAAGGAUUUAUUUUCCAUUCAUUCUUCUCAUCUAAUACACCAUUAGCCUUGUAUGUAUGGAAAUCAGGUUUGAGAGCAUAUGGAAAUAUUUUGGUUUUUGACAAAAAGAAAUUAUGAGUUAUUAGAAUAAUUUUUAAAUUUUUUAAUAUAUUUUUAGUGUUUUUUUUAAUUUAUUAAACUCUAUUAAAUGGAUUUAGUUUAGCUAACAAAUUUCUUAAGAUGAAUUUAAGUUUGAUAUAUUUCAAAUUAAGGUUUCAACUUUUUGAAGGUAAGAAUUGAAGUUCAACUUUAAGAUGAUAUUAUUAACUAAACCAUAAAUAAAAUGAUAAAAUCAAUAUUUACUAUUAUUUAAGUAUUUUAUUAAGUUGUCGCCUGAGUCUUAGCUCGAUUGACAUGGGUAUUGUUGUUAAUACAGGAGGAGGACGUGGGUUCAAAUGCGCUGAAACUAGGGGUGAGCAUUCGAUCCAAUCGAAUUGAAUCGAUUCGAAAAUUUUCGAGUUAAUCGAGUUUUCGGAUCUCAUUUUAUCAUCCUAACUUUAUUUGAAGUUUUCUCGAAUCGAGUCGAGUGAGAUAGAAUUCGAAUCGAAUCGAAUCCAAUAUAUUUGUUCGAGUUAAAUUUUAAAAAAUAAUUUUGGGUCCUUGUAACCAUUGUCACCCAUCGUAAUAAAAUUUGUCCACAUUAAUCAAUUUUUUUAUUAACUUUCAUCACCUCAUAAUUUAUUUAUUAAUUUUUUAUCUACUGGUUAGCUUCUUUGCUUGCUUAGUUGUUUCAAUUAUCUUCAGAUUCUUGUCACUAUGUAUUUUGGAAUUAAAAAAUAUACUAAAUGUAAAAAUAUGAUUUUUUAAUAAAAUUUAUUUCAAAAAUAAAAUGUGAAAUUGAUACCAAUAUAAAAUUUUAACACAAAUAUUUUAUGGCAUAAUUAAUAAUUCAAUUUUAAUAUAAAUAUUCAAUAUGACUAAACAAUUCAAUAAUAUAAAUAAUAUAAAAUGUGAAAUUUAAUUUAAUAAUAUAAAUAGUAGAUAUAAAUAAAAUUAUUACUAUUUAUGUUUAGUGAUUUUUUUUUGGAUAAUUUUGAUUUUUUAUUUGAGAGUAAAGGGUGAGAAAUAAAAGUUUAGGGGGAAAAUAAAAAGAUUUGGGGAAUAAAAGUUCGAGGGAAAGUAAAAUUUUGGAGGGAAAAUAUUAAAAAAAAUUGGAGGGGGGAGGGUUUGGGAUAGAUGGGAGGUGGGAUGGGAAGGGAAUAAAAGUUUUAGGGGAAAAGUGGGAGGGAGUAAAACUUUGGGGGGAAAAUAAAAGGUUUUGAGGGUUUUGGGGAGUAAAAUUUUGAGAAAAAGUAAAUGGGAGAGUAAAAUUUUGGUGGGAAAUAGAUUUUGAGUAGAUUGGGGGGUUGGGAGGGGAGGAGAGUAAAAGUUUUGGGGGGAAAGUGGGAAGGAGUAAAAGUUUUGAGGGAAAAGUAAAAAGGUUUGGGAGUUUGGGGUAAAAAUAUAAAAUAUUAUAGUUUGAUAUUCGAAUUAUUCGAAUUAUUCGAGUUAUUCGAAUUAGAAAACUCAACUUGAUUCGAACUCGAAAUUUGAAAAAAAAAUUCGAAUUGACUCGAAUAACUCGACUCGUUUAACUCAAAAUUCAAAUUUUUUUUUUAUUUUUUCGAGUCGAAUCGAGUUUUGCUCACCCCUAGCUGAAACACAUUAUUCUCCUAUUUAUGGGUUGGGAAUGGGGUAUGGGUAGUUCUAGACAUUAUAUUAAAAAAACAACCAAUAUUUUAUUAAGUUGGUGUUACACUUGAUUGGGUCAUCAACUCAAUUAUAAAAUUAUAGAAAUAUUCAUGUUUUUAGAUUAUAAUUAAUAUUAUUAUGAUAACAUUUUUAUCUUUUCAUACAUUUAUAUAAUUUUUAAAUUAAAAAAUAUAAAUUUACUACCACUUUACUUUUAUUCAAAUAAAUUUAAAAAAAAUAACAUAAAAUUUUGUAAAUGAAGAAAAUCUAGUUUAAUAUAAAAUAUUGAGUCCACACUAAUUUUAAAUUUGAUUCUUAAACGAAAAGGCUCUUCUAAAAUAGGCAUUUGUUAGAAACAUUUGAAGGAGUGGAUUUGACAAAAAUCUGCCAACCCCACCCAAAGUCACUUUCAUCUCUAACAACCACCCAUAAAAUUUUCAAUAAAGAAUUAUGUAUGAAUUCAAAAUUAUUUAUUAUUUGCACUAAUAUUUAGAAUAAAAUUAAAUAAGAUUUAAAACUCAUAUUCAUAUAUUACUAUUCUUUAAAUUAAUCUAUUUAUUUUUUUAAUUAAAAGGAUGAAACACCUACCUCAUUUUUAGUUUUAAAAAAAGUAAAUAUAAUUUUACUAUAAUUUUUAAUUUUAUCUAAGUCGUCAACUUAGUUAUAAAAUUACAAAAAUAUUCAUUGUUUAGUAAUGCAAUACAAUUAAAAAAUUUUGACUAUCAAAAUAAUCUUAAAAAAACAUAAAAAAAAUAAAUUUUGGGGGGUUUUUUUACAUGAAUAAUACAAAAAAAUUAAUUAUGGAAAUGAGACAUGUUGUAGAUUAUUUAGCUAAAUUAACAAUAUAUGUCAUUUUUUUAUUUGGCCUUUUAGGCCUUUUUUUUAAAAAAUUUAGGGAAAUAGGUCCUUUUUGGAGAGAGAAAGGAAAGUCGCGUCCAACUGAGCGCGUUUUCAUCCUCUCUCCUAGGGUUAGAGUGUAACACCCAUAACCUGUUUUCAUCGCUAGAAUAGAGUUACGGAGUAUUACUGUGCAUCUCAGAACUUUUCAUAUAAUUGGCAUCUAAUUAUAAAAUAAAUUUCAUAAAUACAUAUAUGAUUCAUAAUGAAAUAGAACAUACAUUUAUGACAUUAAAUCGAGCCUUCGAAGCCUUAAAAAUAGGUUAGGAACAUUCAGGGACCAAAUCAGAACAAAUUAGAACAUUCAGGGAAAAAUUAAAAUUUUUCACUACAAGGCUUACACGGCCGUGUGUCUAGCCUACAAACUCAUGUGCUCAAUAGUGUGCUCACCCGUGUAACUCACUGACUUGGGCGACACACUCGUGUCUUAGCUCAUGUACCAGCUCAUAUGAACCAUGCACCUAACACGCUUAAGGCACAUGCCCGUAUGGGCUACCCGUGUGCAACACACAGUCGUAUAACAGUCCAUGUCCCAAGCUGUAUGUGUGUAAAAGUGACCAAACCCAAGCCUAUUCUUCAUGCAAUUGUAUAGGUAUCUAUACCAACUCAUUUUACAUAUUUACAAGUCUAUAAACACACUUUAAAUGAACCAAAACAUGAUAUUUCCAUUCAUUUAAAACCAGCAAAAGUAUCAUGUACCAAACACAUUAUAAUGCUCAUGCUACUCAUUAUCAAACACCUAUCUAUAAACUAUAAUAUACACCAACUAACACAUUCUAAACACAUCAUUCCAACCUAAUAUGACACUUACCAUCUUGACCUCCUACUUAAGUUUACUUAAGGUUAAUAACCAUACCACAAAGACUACCAUUCAUUCAUCAAGUACAAAACAUCACACAUAGCCAAGAAUUAUAGCAUAAUAACCAUUUUCCCUACUACAUGCCAUAUAAGCCAAAUGUUUACAAAAUCUACCAAAAGAGUCUUCGGGAUAGUGUGAUUCUACGAAUUGAUCUGAUCUCCUAAUCACAAAAUGUAACCUACAAAACAAGGACAAAGCACAAGUAAGCUUACUUGAAGCUUAGUAAGUUCAUUAAAUCAAAUGAUACAUAUUACCAAAUUUAACAUAACAAAUCAAAUUAUAAAAUUAAAUAACAAAGUUCCUGUCAAUCAUAGCUCACAGCAGGUGAGUAUUGUAUAGUAUAUUAAUUCAAAUCAUAUUUUAAAGUCAUAAUUUAGUAAGAUCUCAUUUCAGGUAUCACUCAUUCGAGUUAACUUCAAAAUUUUGAUCGACUCACGAUGUUGCUCACACAAGCUGCAGAGAAUCUGCAACACAUGCAGAUCUCAAGCUAUCGCUACAGUCUGUACCACCGGUACAUAGUACCUACUAAAUAUUCACCGGCUCAAGGCUUGAUAGACAACACUGACUCAAGGCCUGAUAUAUAACAUCGACUCGAGGUUUGCUAUUCAGAAACAUCACGUGUUCACUUAUUCAUUUAUUAUUUAUUCUCAAAUCAUUCAAUAGUUAAGUUUAACACUGGAUCUAAUUAUAAUAAACAUGUAAUAUAUAAGGAAUCAUCGCAACAUAAAAGAAAUAUUACGAACUUACCUAACUAAACUGUAGCACUGUAAGGUACAAGGACUAUUUUGUAACUUCUUUAUGCCUCGAUUUUUAACCCAUUCUUGAUCUAGAAUAAAAAUUUCAUUCAACCAGCUAAUUCCAACAGUAAAAUUAACUCAUUUUAUGUAAUUAAGUCCAUUUUGACAUUUUUACAAAAUUUCCCCAAUAUUUUACUUUUAUGCAAUUUAGUCUCUAACUCAAAACAUGCAAUUUAACCAUUUUUAUUCAAAUUUCAACUUAUCCGAAUAUUGAAGUGCCUUUCUAUAGCCCAUUUUUGCAAUUAUUUCACAUCAAGUACAAGUAACUUUGUCAUUUUAACAUUUUAGUCCUUAAACGUUAAAAUCAUCAAAAACUACUUUACAAAAUUGUCCUAUUUAACAACCACACUUAAUAGUCCAUCAUAAGAUUCCAAGAAUAUACAAAACUCAUCAAUGGCAUAAUCCACAACAUUUAACAGUUUUACAAAUUAGUCACCAGAUUAGCUAGAUUGAGCUAAUACGAGCUCAAAAAUAUAAAAAUUACUAAAAACAUGUGAGGUUUACUCACUUAAUUGAAGAACUCAAGCUUGGUUUAAGCUUCCAUGCCCUAGCUGUGGUGUUUUAGUUCUCUCCCCAUGAAGAAGAAAGGAAAUGCUAAUUUUAUCUUUUAAUUUCUUUAAUUUAACUUACCUUUUUAACUAUUUACUAAAUUAACCCUUAAAAAAUUAAAAGUAAAUAGCAUUUACUUUCUUUUAAUUCAAUUGGUUAAAAUUCCUCAAAUCAAAAUUCAUUAUAAAAUUACUAUUGACUCGUAUAAUUUAAAUACUAAUUAUACGAACUUACUCGUUGAAUUUGUGAUAUCAAAACCACUGAAAAACAUACUGUUACAUAGGUUUUUUUAAUUUUGUUAGGUUUAAGGUUUUUGUUAAGGUUAGGAUUUUUUAAGGGUUUAGUGUUUGGGUUUAGAGGUGAAACCACGAAAUUUUAUAGGUAGUUGAAGGGUUGAGGGUGUGAUAAUGCGCCUCAGAACACAUAUAUUUCAUAUGUCAUGACGGGAUAUGAUCAUUGCCUUAAAAACUCAUUUUGGGGAAGUCAAGUUUUGGGGUGACAAUGCUUGAUACGAUCACAGAUCAAAGUCUAGGUCGAGGUCCCAGUUGGCAGUCAUGAUGCGAUCAUGGGUUAGAGUAUAAUUAGGGGAGAGUUUACGGUUGUUAUGCAGUCACGAAUUCAAGCUUUUUAGAUACUCACAAAUGGUGCCUUAUAUAUACCAUACAAAAGGUUAAAGCCAUAAUCAUAGGGAAAAAUAGAGGGAUUUCUUAUAUAAUCAAUGUAAUUUUUUCUCUAUUUCCAAACAACCAGUAUAUUUAACCUUUUAUUCUUAUUCAAAGGCUGACACUGAGGUGGACACAAGAGGCCUUUCAAGCGUUAAGUGGAUGUUUCGACAUAGUAGAAGUGAAACUCAAGUUGAUGCGACAAUGGUUGUAGCUAUUAGUAAAUUAUUUAAUAACGACAACCAUUGUCACCCAGAAAAGAGCAUCACCUUUACUGCACCGCAACAACUGCUCCUUCCCUGAGAGUCCUCAUGUAUACACAGCAACGCUGACCUUUGGAUAAGAAUGAAGGUUAAAGGUACCAACUUCCUCGAAAUAGAGAAAAACAUUACGCCGAUUAUAACAGAAAGCCUAAUGGUUUUUCUGUAUGAUUAUACCAUCAAGCUUCUAUAUGAUAUUUAUAAGGCAACAUUUUCAGGUAUCCAAAAAGUUUGAGCUUGUAGUCGCAUAAUGACCAUCAACUAGCUCUUUCGUUAUACCCCGAUCUAUGACCGCAUAACGGUCAUCGAUUGAGGCCGAUGCUUAGACUUCCACCCAUGAUCGUACAAUGCAAAAUCACCUCAGAACUCGGCUUCCACAGGAUAGGUUUCGAAGGUAAUGGUCUCAUAUCGGCAGAAAAUAUGAAAUGUGUGUGUCUCGAAAUGAUAUCGUAUCACCGACGACUCAAGAAUACCUCGAAUGAUUGAAAUUUUAUUAAUGACCGAAAUUUUUAGCACUAAGAAAUAUUGUAUAGUGGAGGGAUAGAUAGGAUGGGAGAGAAGAUGUUUGAGGGAUGGUGAAGUAUAGAGUAGGAGACCUCUUUUAUAAGCGUAGGGGAAAUGUGAGAUUACAAAGUAAAAAAUUCUCACACCUUAUAUCAGUGAGGUGUACAAACUAGAAAGUAUGCAUAGUGUAUAGAGUCUUAAGUUCCCACUCGUCCUAGAUGAGAAUGUGUGGAUGCUAAUGUCCAACGCACCGUACGAGUUAGCGACAAACAUGAACUUACGUCGUGUCCCGAAAGUUCACCCAAAUUUCACUAGAUAUGUACCAAUAUGGGUAUUCAAGAGAGGGACAAUCAAUAGAGGUUAUGUAGGUACUGUAGAAACCUAGGGCAUACGAAUACAACAUAUUCUAUAUUGAAGGGUACAUUGGAGCCUCAACGUUGCUUGCAUUCAUUUUUAGGGUAAAAAAUUUGUAAUAUUUUUAACUUGCAUUUGAACUGUAUUUGUCAUUGUCUACUAGUUUGAUAAAGAUGCCUUUCCAAAGUUGCAUGUUUCAUAUCAAAUAUUAAAUAUAUCAAAAUUUACAUUAGAUUUUAACAAAGACAAAUAUGAGUUGUAAUAGGAAUAUACAAAAAAAUUUGUUUAUUUAUUGAUGUUAAUCAUUUUUACAUUGCAAUAAGUAAAUAAAAAAAUCAUUAGUGUCUUUGAGCCAAAUGUGUACCAUAUAGUGGUGGCUGACGGGUGCGAGCAAGAUUUCUAUAUAUAACUAGUGCUACCAGUUCAUCCACUUGAUCGUCACCAUCGCCUUCAUCUUUUUCGUCUUCACCUCUACCCUCGUGCUCAUACUCGUCUCCAUCAUGGUCUUUUUCUUCAUCUUCAUCUCUACUCUCUGCUUCGUCUUCAUCUUCAUCUUUGUCUCCAUUGUCUUUCUUCGUGCUUGAGUGUGGUGUCAUCCUAGCCUUCUAUCAUGUGUCUUCCACUCCACAAGAAGAUGGUUACGCCAAUGAUCCACCUCGAUAAAAUAAUGAUGCAAUGGGUGUUUGUGACACUAUCAGUGAUGUUACAAAAUCUAGAUUCGUCGACAUUGACCCGGGCAUCGAAACUGGCAUAAAUAACUAGAUCGGUAAUGGUACAUGCAUCGGCAUCUAGAUUGACAUUUGCGUCGAUAUUUGGAUCGGUAUUUGCAUCGAUAUCGAUGUUGACAUGGGGGUGUAAAAUGUGGGGGACAUUGGUGUCCCGAAAUAUGUACCUAUAGGAAGGGUGGAAGCAGGGAUAUGCAGUGGUGCCCAGUAUGGUAGUUGUAAAUAAAACAUGAGGUUAAGGAAAUUAACAAAAAUAAGUGGAGUGACUUGACCAGGAUGUGGCAUAGACAUAGGCAACAUUUGUUCAGUCAGAGCCAAUGACGAACCUAUCGUACGACAACGUCCGAACGUAUGCUGCUGGGGCAGUCUUCAUGGCCUCUUUGGAUGAAGUUGUUUACUCCUCGCCUCAACCGAUAACAGAUAUGGCUUCCCAGUAAGCUGAACCAUGACAAGUACUCUAAAUAAGUCGUCAUGUCUGAUAAGAAAAAUGGUUUGCAAAUAGGUAAGAAUUCCAUCCUACGAUCCCAAGCGUCGAUGUACUCCUUGUGAAUGUCUUUCCAAUUUUCGUCGUUUUUCCCCCGCAAGUCCACCUUGUGCAGUGCUUCUAUGUCCUACAGUGGCGGCCAAAUUUGUUUCCUCCACCCGAACUGUCACAUCACUUAAUCUUAUUCGUGCAUUUCCACUGUCGCAUAUACUAUCAACGAUACCUUCAUAUCCCACAUACUCUAAUUGGCCAAAAAUUCUUGCGGGACGUAUUCUAUGAUAUCCAGCUCGGCGUAUGACAUCCAUUCAAAUUGUAGUGCACAAUUUUAAAUUCUAUUAUGUACAAAAUUUUAUUUUACAAAUCAUUGCAUAAUUAUGAUAGGUUAGAAAGAAUAAGUAACUAACAUUGGCUUCCAAGCGUUGAUUUAACAACGGCUUGAUAUCUUUAAGCUACUCGGGUAAUCUCACAUAGCUUGGCUCAUGGCUCCACCUAUACAAGUGAUAUGUAAAUUCAAACAUAUAAUAAAUAAACUAUAUUUACUAUACAAACUACAUAUUUAUUAAGAAAUGAUUUUUACCUUGUCACCAAUGGGAACAUGAAUGAGUCAGUAACUUAGGGACAUAGAAAUGGUAGUCGCCACCAAGUCCACGACUACAGCAGGGCAGACAACCAUCAAUUGACAUCUUAUCCGAUUCCGUUACUCGUAACAACUCCCGGUACAAUGCGACUAACACAGCUGAUCCCCAACUCAAUCGUUCGUUUUCUUUGAAGUCGACUAGGUGUAGUAGUCACCUUAUGUGUACCAAAUUUUGAGAUUUAUCGGGCAUUAGAAUGCCCCCAAUUAGCUUGAGGAUGAACGUUCGAGCGUAUUGUUCUUUGACGACAUUGAGCGCGUCCUUAGGAAGUUCUUUGAAAUUCGUUUCCAACCACUUAAUAUGUACUUGACCACUUUAAAACCUAUUCGACAUCUUCCCAACAAUGCAUCGCAAAGGUCUUCUAUAUUGAGAAUGACCGUUGACCCUGUGACGACUGGCCCACCUAUUGGUAAGCCGAGUUGUAAAGCUAUGUCUUCGAGUGUGAUUGUACACUUGCCGCAUGGAAGAUAGCUAGUGUGUGUCUCAGGCCUCUAUCUUUCCACGAAUGCACUAAUAACUGUAGAAUCAAGUUUGUAGCCUCCGAGCAUACGAGAUGCAUGCAAGAAUCCUGUGUCUUAUAAGUAACCACGAAUUUCUGUGAUUGGACCAUUUGACAAAUUAUGUAUGAACCCUUUCAAAACACGAUCAUUCACCUAUUUAUAUUGACAAAAAAAUUAAUUUAAAAUAUUUUUACAAAUAAAAAAAUUUAAAUUUUCGUCUUAUCAUUAUCGCUUGAGCGACGAAAAUGUGCUUGUUAUCGAAACGAAUCAGAGAGGUUGUCAUUCGUGAAAAUUCAAUUGAAACAAAUAAAAUAUGAAAUAAUUAAAAAAUAAUAUUUUGAAAUGAGCGUAUCGGAAAAUUUAAAACAGAACUUGAGAGAAUUAAGAGAGUUGAGAGUUUAGAAAGAAUUGAAAAUGUAGGAUUUGAGUGAAAAUAAAAAUAAAAAUGACACAUGGUAUUUAUAGGAAAAAAAUUGAUCGUUUGGCCCUUUAAAUUUUUUUACCUUUGCUAGCCAACGUUCAAAAAGUCGUUGGAGGAAAAUGCGCUCAGUUGGACGCACUUUUCCUUUCUCUCUUCAAAAACAAACUAUUUUCCUAAAUUAAAAAAAAAGGCCUAAAAUGCCAAAAAAACAUAUAUAGUUAAUUUAACCAGAUUAUUUAUGAUAAUGGUAUAUUUUCAAUGGUAAACUUAGAUGUCGUCAAUGUGUCAAGUGGUAUUAAUCCCAAAAGCCAUCCAAUCAUAAGGGGAAAAGAAAUUAUUUUUAAAGUGGUUUUGCCUCAGGCAACACCAAAAAUCAUUUGUAUUUUUCUUUAAAUAUUGAAUAAAUACAAAAAAAAAAUUAUGUUUUUAAGUGGUGUCACCUAAUAGGUUGACGACACUGGUUUAAAAUUUUUAAAAAAAUUGGCAUAGGGUGAAAGGAUGUAGAGGUGUGUGCCGGUACAGUAAAAAAUCUAGUGCCGACAAUGUAUCAAGAGACACAAAAAAAUACAAUAUUUGACACUGGUGCUGCCUGAUAAUAUGAUGGCAUGAAAAAACUAUUUUGUGCCUCAUAAUAGAUUAUUUUUUAUGCUGGUACCGCUUAAUACAUUAAUGUAACUGUACAAAAUAUACUAUUUAUAUAAAGUUGUGUUUAAUUGAUUUUGUUAUGAGUUGUCUGUAGUUUUGAAUUUUGGAAACCGUGCUUUUUUUUUUAUAAAUUUGGAAUUCUUUCACAUGAGAGAAUAUUAAAAUUGAACUUCAAUUUAGUCCAUAGUUACAUUGGGAAACCAAGUAUAUAUUUUUCACCACCAUUAAAUUAAAUAUUAUAAAAUAAAGCUUUACAUGCCAGAUUUUGCUCGGGUCUAAAAGACCCGCAUUACAGACAGGCCCAUAUGGCCCAAUUAAUAAAACAAACGAGGGCCCAAACUACGGUGGCCCAAAUUACAGACAUAAACCCUAGGGUUUCAACAGCGCCGCAAGCCACGAGCGUAUUCGGUCUUCACCUGCGCAUCAAGGAAAAACGAAAAUGGAAAGUGAAUCAAAAUAUUUGUAAAUCAAAUCAAAAAACAGAUUUGUUUCCUUUUUAGAUUUAUUUCAUACGGCUAUAAAAUAGCCAUUGUAAUAUUGUAAGUGUCGGAUUCGAAAUCAAUAAAAAGCACGAUUUUUACAACACAAAGAGAGAAACAGCAAAAUCUAAGGUUGUUUUAUAUUCUGUUAUUUAUUUAUCUAUUAUUAUUUGUUUAUAUACUAUUAAUAAAUAAGGAAAAAGAGAGAAACAACCUAUGUUUUGAGGCCCAGAUUGCCGUGGAUGGCCGAGGGUGUCGUCUCCGAUGAAAGACAACCGGAAGCCGGAAGGUUUCUCUGCUUUUAGGGGCACUUUCGUUGAUAUUUCGCGAUAUUUGAGCCCGGAUUUAGGCUCAGGGGGUUGAGAAGGUCAAACCGGGGGUUUUCCCCUUUUCCGGCCACCGCAGACGGUGGUGCCGGUGCCGGAGAUCGGUGGCCGACACGGUGGCCGACGACUGGCCGAUGACUGAACCGGAGGCCGGUGCCCGAAGGUUGAGAGCUCUUUUUAAAAAGAGAUUUUCGUUUUUUUUUGAAGGAUUUAAAAAAUGAAAUUUUUGUUUAUAAUUUUGGCUUAAAUAGCCAAUUGAAAACGGCGCCGUUUUGAAGGGAGGAUUCGCGUGUCAACCCGACCAGGACCCAGUUUCUGCGUGUUUUUCAUACGGAGGGGCAAAUUGCGCUUUUGGCCCCUCCGCCUUUUAAUAUAUUUCCAAUUAAGUAUUUUUGUGUUUUUAAAUUCGGCCUUUAAUUUAUUUUAAAUUCCAAUUUAAUCCUUUUGAACGACACCGUUUUAGAGGAGAAGGGAAAAUUACCCUUCCAGCCCCUCUAUGUAAUUUGCGCGUUCAAUUUAGUCCUCCAGACUUCAAUUAUUUGCGAAUUUGCCCUAUUUUUUAUCACAUUUUAAAAUUAGUCAUUUUAGAAUUAAUUGAUUUCAAAAUAUAUAUAUAUAUAUUUUAAGUUUAUACAUGUAAUUAUUAUUUUUAUGAUUUAUAUAUUUAUUAUCUUAUAUAUAUGUAAUUAUUAUUUUUAUGAUUUAUAUAUUUAUUACCUUAUAUAUAUAUGUACGUAUAUAUAUUAUACUUUCUAUCCAUAUUUUAUAAUUUCUAUAUAUAUAUAUAUUUUUUUUAUUCUCAUGAAUGUAUUAUAUAUAUAAAUAUAUUUUUUAUAUAAAUUUUAUAUUUUUUCCAUAAUUUCAAUGUAUAUAUUAUGUACUUUCUUUUCUUUAUUUUUUUAUAUGUUUGUUGAUUUAUGUUUUCAUAUUUUUUUAUUUUGCUCAUUUAUUUGAUACUUUGCAUGUCAUUUUUUUAUUUAUUUGUUUAUCUUAUUUCUAUACAAUUGUCGUAUUUAUUAUUGUUAUUUGCUAUUGCGACAUUUAUACACGCAUUCAAUAUAACAUUACAUCAUUUUUUUUACUCGAUUUCAAACUUUUCAAAAUUAAGAUAAUGCUUGUAUUUAUGAUUUUCAAGGAAAUUGAGCCCUAACGUAUUGGGUUCCGAUUUUCUUCGUUAAAUCUAACAAUCGAGCAUUUCUCUUUAAUCAAAAAAUAAGAACUCAUUAUUGGGAAUUCAACACGUUGUGUCCUAACGUAUUGGAUGUGACGCAUUGAUUUCUCGAAAUGAAUUUUUUUUUCUAAAAAAAUAAGAAAGGAAAUAUUUCGAGUUUGGGAUUUUGGAGGAAUUGUGCCCUAACGUAUUGGGCCGCGAUUUCUUAAAUCUUGAAUAAAUGGAUAUUCUUUUAAAUUUUUAUUACACGAGUAUUCUGGCCUAAUUCAUUUUUGAGGAAAUUAGAUUGUCGUGCCCUAACGCAUUGGGUGUGGUAUUUUCUUUCUCUGAAAUGAUAAGGGUCUUAAUACGUAACGUUUAAAGUUUUUGCUAAGGAUUAUAUUUUUCAAAUUUUCGACAUUAAGACAUUAAUUAAUUAACUAGGUGCCAAUUUUUUGGGCGUUAUGAGGGUGCUAAUCCUUCCUCAUACGUAACCGACUCCUGGACCCGUUUUUCUAAAAUUCGUAGACCAAAGUCAUUUUUAGGUGAUCCAAUCACACCUUAAUAAAAGAUUGGUGGCGACUCCCAAUUUUCAUUUUUUAAAGUCGACAAUCUAAAAUUUUUGUUUUUUUCAAAAUGGUUUCGACAAAAGCAUUUGAUUUAUUUAUAAUUUUAUAUCUAUAGUAUAUAUUUUAGAUAUGGGUAAACUACGUUAUUAGUCACUGAACUAUUAGUAAGAUUUGUUUUGAUCACUCAACCUUAAAAAAUUACAAAAUGGUCAUUGAACUGUUUAAAAUUUUUUAUUUAAGCCAUUAGGAUAUAAAGUUUUUUUUUAAGUGCAACUAGUGAGCUCCAAUGGAUGAUUCAAUGAUCGAUAUGGUGGAUCAAUACCUAUUGACAAACAGAAGAACAUACCCUAGGUUCAAGUAAAUUUGAUGAUCAAUGUCGGAGAUUGAAAAAGAAAGUUGUUUGGAUUUUAGUUCGCAGAUUCUAACGUUCAAAGUUGUUUCAUGAAAUAAAAUUAAACUGUAGUAAAGAAGGUGAAUGUGAAUUUUCGAUUGGUGCAGGUGGUGCGAACAGAAAAGACCAUACUGCAACAAUUUUAACAACCCAACUCAAUAACUUAAAUGAAAACUUUUGAAUAGUUUGGUGACCAUUUUGUAACAUUUUAAAGUUAAGUGACUAAAACAAAAACUUACCUAUAGUUUAAUGACUAAUGGUGUAGUUUACCCUUUAGAUAUUAUUGUAAUCAGUGGGGUCAAUUGCGAAGGUGAGAAUUGAGGUAAUUACAAACAAUUAUACUAAAAUAUAAUUACUCUAUGGCUUUUCAGGCACAACUGUAAAUUAUUUAAGUUUUAAAAAAAUAUUUUCAUACAAUAAAAUUUUAAAUUUAUAAUGAAAUUUAUUUUUUAAAGUUUAAUUAUAUAUUACUUUACUAAUUUUGUCAAAAUAAUCUAAAAAUUUUGUUGAUGAUAAUUAAUUUCUCAUAUAUUUUCGUCCACUAAAUAUUUAAUUAAAUUACAUAGUAUCUAUUAUAAAUUAUUAAAACGAAUUUUAACUAAAUUACAUAGUAUUUGUUAUAAUUAUUCAUACUAAUUUUAAUUAAAUUAUAUAGUACUCAUUAUUUAUUAAGACUUAGCCAAAGACCAACCGAUGAUGGCAAGAAGUACAUGGUUAUUGGUAUGGGGAGAACAAUCCAACAAAUACAGAAUCAGGGGCAAAUCCAUAAAAAAUUUUAGGGAUUGAUAUUGAAUUAUAAAAUUUUUGAGAGAUCAAAGUGUAAUUUGAUCAUGUAUUAACUUAUGCUUUAUUCAUUUUUAAAGGAUAUUUAAUUUUUGGGGCUUGAAAUGCAAUUUUACUAUAUGUUAAUUUUUAUAAAAGGACUAAAAGGCUAUUUUUCAAAUUUUUGAGGGGUAGGAGGCACAAUGCUCAUACUCACCCCUUGCAUAAAAUACUUAAUUUUCCUGUUAACUUUAUUAACAGAUAAGAAUUUUCAUAGAGUUGGCAGUCGAUGAAAAGGAAAGGUUGAAAAAUCAAAAUGAGAUUGACUUGUAAUCAUAAUAAUAAAAAAAGAAAAGCGCGGUUGAUGCGUAACGUUUGGUGUCAUAGCUUAAUCAACUCGAGGCUGCUCCAUAAAUUCCUCUUUCUAGAAGAAAAACUCACGCACACCAAAUACAAAUUUAUUACAUAAGAUGUGAAACUUGUGGUCAAAUCUAAUAUACAGUUAACCAAAGACUGAAUGGUUUUGCAGCAAAUUAGGAAGAUAUGAAGAUGUCAAUGUCAGGUCACAUACAAAGACCUUUCCGACCAACAGAAAUGUAUUUACAAAUGACAAAAGCCAGGUUGAAAGUGAUGUUUUAAUAGAUGGAUAUAUCUCUAUCACGUCCUACGUGAUUUCUUUGCUAGCUUUAUAAGCUUAUUUCGGGUGCUGCCAUGCCACCUCCUCUUGCAGCAUUACGUUUUGCCUCCGCUGUCUUUCCACUGCCACGGAAAUACCUAUAAACUCUCUGCCAAAAAAACAAAAAGCAUGGGUAAUUCGCGUGUGUUAGAAGUCUCUAAUUGCAGCAGCAAAGAGUGGAAUGAACUCAAGAUGUUUGAUGAUAUACCUGAAUGACCCAGAUGCUUAACAGUGACUCAACACAGAAUAACCCAAAUCCUACGAAGUAGAAGAUCUGCGAAUGAAAAGACAAAUGUUUUAAUUAUAAUUAUUUACCCUUUCAUAUCAAACAAUUCAAGAGAAGAAAUGAUCCUUAAUUUUACCCCUACUAAAGCACUGUCGCUCAUAGUACGCAACGCACUCACGAAUCCCCUGCACCACCCCAUAACAGUAUUAAGUCAUGAUCAGGAGUAGGGAAAACUGGAAAACGAAUUGCAUCAGUUUUGGACCAAAAACUAAAAGAGUUUAACUAUCAAAUCCAACAAGUUAUGCCAGUGUCAGACAUGGAUAUGUGUCCAGAAACUUACGAGAAAGAUAACCCAUCAUAAAUUAUAGGCGGAGCAACCGAAGCAUAAAUGCAGAAGCCGAUAUGUAUCUGCAACCAGACAACAAAAAUUGUAUAAAAUUGCUAGCUGUGGGAAUCUGGCAAGGGUUAACCAUAUGCAUAAAACAAUACAUUACCACGUAAAACAUGAAAAACCAUCCGAACUUAAACGCACUGUCUUUCCUGCAACAUGAUUAUAAAGAAAGAUAAUUCAUUAAACAGAAUGAAGAACGUUGUUAAAAAAAUGAUGGAAGAACAGGGUUUUAAUUAGUACCUGCAAGCUCGAUAAAGUGGACGAUACCAUAGUAAAUAAGCUCCUGGUAUGCCUAUAAUGCAAUAGAUGACAGCCAGGAACCAUAUCCUUACGCCUAAAUGUAAUUGUUUUUAAGAUUCAACCAUCAGAAUCUAAAGAUUGUAAUGAAAAAGAAAGAAAACCCAGGAGUAGCAACGGGAUUUCUAAUCCAACCUGACCCUUUGAUGCUUGCUGUGGAAACAGCUAUGACAUUCCAGAAAAGGCAUAGGAUCAACCCUGCAUGAAAUUAACAUUCAUCAUUCUAUCUUGUUCGUAAUAAUAAAAUCUUAGCUAUGCAUUUUGACAAGCAGCUUGCAUACAUGCCUAAGAAGGUGGCGAAAGCUACAUAUAGCAUUCGAUGUAGAUAACUAGGUAUCUCAUUUGCAAUGUCAUGGUGGAUGAUUGGGCAAAAUGGUGGCCAAUUUUUCACAUCCAGAAGCACUCCAGCUACAACCAAAACAAAAUUAACCUUGUGACGGUGAAUCAUUAUUUUAUAUAUGUAUUUUUAAAACCAAGAAGUUGCAUUGCAAAUUUAAGAAUAAAAACAUCAAACCUGCUAAAAUGAACUUGAAGAAGCUUAAAUACCCAGAAGAGAGAGAUUAAAUUUGCAAAGAGUAAGCAAAUUUUAGUGGCAAAUAUUACCUCGUGCUAGAGCUUCUUCUUUCCUUUUAACUUCCUGAUGAAUGCAUGUCCAGGAAAGAUGGUAAUGAGUAAGAAUUACGAACAAGGGCAAUUCAAUGAUUCAUCUACUGCUAAAGGCCAUUGCGUAAGAUAUAUACAUACAUACAUGAAUAUGGUGACUAUGAAUAGUAUACGCUUUGACAUUUCAUUAUAUAAUUAAUAAACAGUGUUGUUGAUGGGAUUUUGAACGUUCGGAGAGACUUUGUGAAAUAUUGUCCACCAGGGUGACGGCUAACAGAUCUCUUCCACAAGUUCGGGCCGGAAUGUCUGUGUUUGAUUUUAUCCUUAACUUUUAUCUCUCGAAUUUGUUUCAAAAUGACUCUGCUGGAGUUCAAGAAACAGUGAGUUUAGAGGGGUGAGUGAAGGAGAACUCAACAUUUGCUCUUGAUGGGAUUUGAACUCAUACUUUCACCAAACAAUUACAGGACUAAGGAGGAUACCAGUUGUGGGUAAGAUUGACAUCUCACACUGAGUGUACGGUGGAAUCCAUGGGAAGUUAAAAUUCUGAUUUGAUAAUAGUAUAGGAUUCAAUUCAUACUUUUUCAUUUUAACGCAUUAACAUAAUUUGGACUAAUCUCUCUUACUAACAAGUAAUAACAGUAAGGAAAAAAAGUCGAUUUAAAGUAAAAUGAUGAAGUGAUAGCAGAAGGACUAAAAACAUAAUUUAGCCAAGUUUUUAACAUGUUUGUAAAGAUGUAUUACCUCUUCCCUCCUUCUAAGUUCAGCUUCCUUGGCCUGGAGUUCUGUCUCUUUCUGCUUCAAAUUCUACAUCUCAAGCAUCAUAAGACAUAUAGUCAGAAAAAAGCUGAUGUGAUGAGUUGGACACCAUCCAGAAAAGUGGGUUUGAAAUUACCGUGGGAUUAUCAAGAUUGAUCUCAAUGACUGGAUUGCGAUCAUAAUUGUAGCUGACAGGUUCAGGAGGAAGAGCUGGAAGCCUUGAGUGCGAAUAUUGUGAAGGGUUCUGCAUGUUUACCAAUCAUCCAUACUCAUAAAAUACGUACAGAUUCUACAUAUAUGUGUAUAGGAUAAAUUAUAAAUAUAGAGUGGAUGGAGAGAUAUGAAACUCACGGAAAAAGGAUUAACUUGAUCUUCUUCUUCGUCAAAAGGGUUCCUAUCGCGGUAACCAGCCAUGGUUCUUGGGAUGUGGAGACGACAUUUUGUUUAGCGAGGGAGAAGUGGUGUUAUAUAGAGAGAGAAAGAAUUUACAAAGUUUGUCUUUGUUGGGAUGUACCAUUGCGUUGAAGCCAAGGCGAUAAGGAAUUUGAGAGACGAGAAGAGAAGGACGGCAACAUAGGAUAUAAACUAUUCUUGUCUUAACUUACGGAUUCAUCGAAGAAACUGUGUUUUAUAGCUUGUUCAGUGUUUCUAUUGGAGAGUGACCUGGUUAACAACAACAUCUAAGCACGUUAUUUCAUAGGAAGAUAAAUGCUUUAUCUUCCAUUUUUAGCGGCGUUUGGAUAAAAAACGCCGCUAAAGAUCGAGCAUUAGCGGCGCUUUUUGGAAAACGCCGCUAAAGAUCGAGAUUUAGCGGCGGUUUAUGGAAAACGCCGCUAAAAAUAAGCAUUAGCGGCGUUUUCAAUAAAGCGCCGCAAAAAAUCUAAGCCCAACGACACCGCUUUUUAGCUUUCGGGGAUUUAGCGGCGUUUUUGGGAAAGCGCCGCUAAUGUCCAGGCCUUUAGCGGCGUUUUUGUGAAAGCGCCGCUAAUGCCCAGGCCUUUAGCGGCGUUUUUGUGAAAGCGCCGCUGAAAGCGCCGCUAAUGCCAAGGGCUUUAGCGGCGUUUUUGGGAAAGCGCCGCUAAUAAUGCUCAGGGAUUUAAAAUAAUUUAAAAUAUUUGUUAAAAAUGGAAAAAAUAAAAUACUAUUAUUUAAAAUAAUUUUAAAGUUUUUUGGUUACAUCACUAAUUUUUUAAUUUAUAUAUUAAAUAAUUUCUUAUAUAAUUGUAAAAGAGAUAGUAUUAAUUUUAAAAUAUUGAAUUAAUUAUCACUAAAUAAUUUCUUAUAUAAUCGUAAAAGAGAUAGUAUUAAUUUUAAAAAAUAUUGAAUUAAUUAUCACUAUAGUUUAGGGUUUUUGGGUUUAGGGUAUAUGGUUUAAAUAGGUUUAGGUGUUACCAUUUUAAGGUUUAUGGAUUUUGGGUUUAGGUCCUUGGUUUAGGGUAUAUGCAUGGUUUAGGUGUUGCCAUUUUAAGGUUUAUGGAUUAUGGGUUUAGGGAUUAUGGGUUAUGGGUUAUGGUUUAUGGUUUAUGGUUUAAAGGUUGGGGUUUAAGGUUUAGAGGUUAUGUGUGAAUGGUUUAUGGUUUUAAGGUUUAAAUUUNNNNNNNNNNNNNNNNNNNNNNNNNNNNNNNNNNNNNNNNNNNNNNNNNNNNNNNNNNNNNNNNNNNNNNNNNNNNNNNNNNNNNNNNNNNNNNNNNNNNNNNNNNNNNNNNNNNNNNNNNNNNNNNNNNNNNNNNNNNNNNNNNNNNNNNNNNNNNNNNNNNNNNNNNNNNNNNNNNNNNNNNNNNNNNNNNNNNNNNNNNNNNNNNNNNNNNNNNNNNNNNNNNNNNNNNNNNNNNNNNNNNNNNNNNNNNNNNNNNNNNNNNNNNNNNNNNNNNNNNNNNNNNNNNNNNNNNNNNNNNNNNNNNNNNNNNNNNNNNNNNNNNNNNNCCAAGCUGUGCCAAUGCCCAAUUUAAAAAAAUUUUCCAACUUCAAGCUCGUUUUACCCGAAUCACCCAUUUCAUUGUUUAAAAACAAUAAAAAAUAUUUUAUAUUUAAAUUUAAUUAUUAAAAACAAUGUCAAUAUAACUUGUUAAUAUUUUUAUUAUUUUAAAUGGUAAAACUGGCUAAGUUUGGCUAGCCUAAGAUUAAAAAAUAUAAAUCUAAGCCUAACCAUAUUUUGGACUAGGUGGGUUGUAUGGGUAGUGAACAUUUCUAAUUAUCAUUUAAAGAGUAAAUAACAUAUAUUUUUCUAAAUUUUGAAAGGUUUUAUAUUUUUCGUGAUUUAAAAUUUUAAGAUCAAUUUUAAAAGAUUUUAAAUUUUUUAGAAAUUUUAAAAAGAUUUUAAACUUUUAUUUUUAUAAUAUUUAUUUACUUUCAAAGAAUAUACCAAAUUAAUAAAAAUUACAAACAUUAAAGACUACAAAAUUAUUUUACCAUUUUUUAAUAAGGUGCCUUAAAAAUGUUGCAUUUAUUAUAUAUAAUAAUAUUAUAAUUUUCCUCAAAAUAUAUACAAAUAAUAUUAUAUAUUUUAUCAUUUUAUUCAAAAUAAAAUGAUUUUUUGCGGCGUUUUUAUUAAAAACGCCACAAAAAAAUAAGUAAAUCAAAAUCCCGCUCAGUCCAAAAAAUGAAUUUUGGUUACCCGCUCGUUAGUCCCUCUUCUUCUCAUCUCCAUCGUGCGCCCUAAAUCCCCAAAUAAAAGUUUGUUUUUUCUUCAGCUGAAAUCCCCCAAAUUUCCCAUUUCCUACAACACCAGUCAAUACACCUACACCAAUCACACUUCUUUUUCCUUUUCAUUUCACUGCACUGAAUUCACUCACCAUAGCUACUCCUUUUCUCUCGAUCUGUUAGGGUUUUUGCGCUUUGUUUUCCCCCCUUUCUUUUACAUUGCCUUUACUAAGACGCCAUUGGCUGUUCGCUGAAAUAAAGAGAUAAAAAAAA
rnacentral:lncRNA from 1 species